UGUUGAUAAAAGAGAUUCCAGAACAAAUAAAGAUUUCUACAGUAAAAGCUGGGGAGGUGUGUAGGGCUCCAGUCUUUGGGUUCACAGCUUGGCUCUACAUUCAUUGCUGGAGGAAUCCAAGCCUCACAAAAGACUGCUUUUAAAGAAAAAACUCUAUUUUUCUUAGAAGAACUAGAUUAAACUAAGAUCCUUUGCCAAUAAAAAGACAAACAAUAGAAAAUUCCUACAGAUUAAGAAUACCAACCAAGAUUUCAAUGAACUUACUUGCUUCAGCUCUGGGAGAACAGUUAAGACAUGGUGCUGAAUUACAUCAGUGAGGAACUAGAGGUACUUCAUAGAGGAGCUGUUUAAUUGAUGAAAGAAGACAUGAAGGUUUGAGUUGUUCAAGAACAAACCAAGGUUUGCUGUUUGUCACAGUUGCAGAUUCAAAUGCCUUUGGGAUCAAGCAGCUUUAACCAAACUUGAGUAAGAACUCCCUGACUUGGAAACACUCAAGUUUCCCACACGCAACUGGAUGGCCCUGGCCACACUGGGAACGGAAUGGGGGCCUCCCAUUGGAACUCGGGGUGGAGGGGGAAGCUCGACCAGCUAUUGUGGCCCCCACUUCCAUUGACAAAAAAGAAAACCUGCAGAUUCCAUUGAUCUGGCAUGGAGCUGGAUGUCUUUCAGGAUGAAGAGUUUUCAUUAAAACACGACCACAACAAAGCAAGAAAAAAGAGCAAUUGAUGUAAGCAUGCCAGUCAGGUUCACAUGUUAAGAAACAGAAUAAAAAGAAAUAAAAAUUGAUAAACAAUUGUUAAUCAUACCAAGGCCCUAUAUAAAUAUGACUUGCUAUUAUGCAUAAUACAAUACAUGGCAUUUUUGUCUUGGAACCUGUCCAAUAUGGUUUAUUAUUGGAAGAAUUGGGUGAAUCUUGUUAAAACACAGCUUUACCUGAAAUUUGAUCCCUAGGUGUGAACCCAGAGGACAAUGUUACGGGGAUUUUCCAAUUAUGGUUUUAAGUAAGGAGUUGUGGAGUUCUCAUUUCAUCCUCUUCAAAAUUUCUUGCUUUAAAUGAAUGAGUAGACGGAAUUAUUCUCCUUUUAAAAAACAAUUGUUCUGCUUGGUGAAGACCAGAAGAAUCAUGCCAGUUCUAAUGCAGGAGAGAAAUACAUUUUAAAAAAGAAAUAUCCUUGGCUAUACAGUUGAUUGCCUUUCUAUUCAAAUUUAAUCUGAGCAAUAUAUAAUUUUAAUUACAGAAAUUAGAGGCUACAAAUCAGAAAUAUCCUUACAUUUCUUGAGUUAACAAAAAUGAUCUUCCUUUACUUGUGUAAAAUUUCAUUUGGAAAAAGGGAAAAGAGAGUAAAGAGAUGGAGUAAAAAGAUGUGCAUCUGUAAUGUUGGCUCUGUGCAAUCAGUAUCUUGAUAACCGUAUUUUAUACAAACUCUCCGGCAAAACCAGAGAGUCAAGAUGUUUUAGGAAUUACUCCUCCUCACUCCUCCACCCCCACAUUCCACCACUGGGAGUCAAAUUGUCUGUGGAAAAAUACAUCCUAAUAUUAAAAACGGCUUUCUGAUUGAACUGUGGCAUAUUCUUGAAGCUGCUGUGCAAGAGUCUCUAGCAAGAGUUUAAAAAUUCUAUAGAUCAGGUACUUAAUGAUUUACAGAAUACGAAAAAUAACGCUGGUGGUUUGAGCUGAAAAGCACUUUGUCAGGACUGCCUAUGAUCUCCUUAAUACUGACAAAGAAUAAUGAUACAUAUUUCCAUCCAUUAUGGUUGGGUUGAGGUGAGGGUCAAAAGCUGGGCUCUAUGAGAUACUGAUUCCUAGACAGUCCCCAUCCUCCUCAUCCCCACUGGUCUCUGGGCUGAGUCUAUACUCAGGCAGAGGAGAGAUAACUGCUAUAGUCAAACUCAGGACUGCUGUGAUGGAUCUAUUUCUUUCUUUUUAUUUAUUUUUUUGAGAUAAGGUCUCACUCUUUCACUCAGGCUGGAGUGCAGUGGCACGAUCACGGCUCACUGCAGCAUUGACCUCCUGAGCUUCGGCGAUCCUCCCAUUUCAGCCUCCCCAGUAGCUAGGACUACAGGUGUACACCACCACAACCAACUAAUUUUUUUUGUGUAUAUUUUUUGUAGAGACGGGGUUUCUCCAUGUUGCCCAGGCUGUUCUGGAACUCCUGGGCUCAAGUGAUCCACCUGCCUUGAUCUCCCAAAGUGCUGGGAUUAUAGAUGUGAGGCACCAUUCUGGGCCAGGAUCUAUUUCUUUUGUGCCCUGGUUUAUUUCAGGGUGUUGUAUGCAGGACACUGAUCAACCCUCACAUUCUCUGCCUACAGUGUAUAUAACUGUGCUGAAGAGGCUUUUCCCAGAGCCAGACUCUAAACCUUGGAUAUAUACAGAUGCCCAAAUGCUGUAAAGUACUAUAGAGUGCAGAUCAUUAUAUAGUAUGAAUAUGAUCAUUUCCAAAAAGCAAUGUGAUUUUAAAACUUGCUUUAUUGCCUAAGCUCUGGAAUUGAUUAUUUUUCAAUCUUUUUUGGAUACCUGUGUUAUCUUGGUCAAUGUAAAUUAAUAAGAAUGAUGGUUAUGAAUAAUGUGCUGUCAUUGACAUUUACUUGGAUGUCAGAGAAUGGAUGUUAGCAGUGGGGAUAUCUGUGUGGAUGCAGAACCUGGUAUUCAUUCCUUCUAACUCACUAGCUUUAGAAUUUAUUCUUCCUGGGGGCAGUUCCAAGAUGGCUGAAUAAGAACAGCUCCAGUCUACAGCUCCCAGCAUGAGUGAUGCAGAAGACGGGUGAUUUCUGCAUUUCCAACUGAGGUACAGGGUUCAUCUCACUAGGGCUUGUCAGACAGUGGGUGCAGGACAGUGGGUGCAGCACACCGAGAGUGAGCCGAAGCAGGGUGAGGCAUCACCUCACCUGGGAAGCGCAAGGGGUCAGGGAAUUCCCUUUCCGAUCCAAGCAAAGCUGUGACAGACAGCACCUGGAAAAUCAGGUCACUCCCACCCUAAUACUGCACUUUUCCAAUGGUCUUAGCAAAUGGCACACCAGGAGAUGAUAUCCCGUGCCUGGCUCAGAGGGUCCCAUGCCCACGGGGCCUCAAUCAUUGCUAGCACAGCAGUCUGAGAUUGAACUGCAAGGCAGCAGCAAGGCUGGGGGUGGAGGGGCACCCACCAUUGCUGAGGCUUGAGGAGGUAAACAAAGUGGCCAGGAAGCUCGAACUGGGUGGAGCCCACCGCAGCUCAAGGAGGGCUGCCUGCC